CUGUGCUCUCCGGCCCUGGGUCGGCUAGGAGAGAGAGGGACGCAGGGGGCAGUGCCGCAGGUAAAAGCUAGAAAGGAAGCCAAAAGGCAACGAGUAUGACCUCUACGCUCCUGAACAAGCCAGGCGAAGUUUUACCUGGGAAACUAAAAGUCCACCUCACCUUGAAGUUCGUGUGAAGAAUUGUGCACCAUCACGGGAGAUAAGCAAAUAGAGCGAAUUUCAUACUGCUGCUUAUCCAGCAAGAAGUUCAUGGCAGUUUAAGAGUUCAUUCAUAAAGAACAUAUUACUGUUCCAUAUAUGCAAAUGCUAACAAGCUGUGGAGACCGGAUCCAUCUCUUACUGAUGGAUCAUGAGCUCUGGCAAGUCAACUAACGGCUACUCUGGGCUAGUCUUCCUUGUUUAAGAAACAAACAAACAAACAAGCAAAACCGGAAGUGGACACGUGAAAUCGGUGCAAGGAAAGUAAUUUUGAGGGUUUUUCUAACACUUACCUGGGAUUCUAGCUAACCUUACUAGCUUGUCAUAAUAAAAUAAUUGUACACAGAAGUUAGGCUUCUCUUAUGAAAAUUACUUAAUUAGAUUGCAUCAGUGUUAGAUAUAACCACCUUUAUAAGACAUACAAAAGGAAAAGCAGUCACAAAAUCUCAAGAUGAUUAUAUUAGAUUCUCAGACUGACUAUUUGAAUUGCCCAGGUAAAUAUGGCAUCUCUCAUCUUCUAAAUCUAAUCUAAAUUUGAAUUUGAAAUCUGGUUGGAUAAUGAAGUUUUGCAUAGAAAGAUCCCUUAUUUUAAAUGGAAAAAAAAUUAAUUCAGCCCACCAAAAAUGCCAGUCAAUUUCCCCAAAUAUCAUUAAGUAUUUGACUACUUACAAAAUAAUACAUUAAGGAUUUUCUCAUAAUUUAAAGCAGAGGCCAAUGUACUUUCUUCUGUAAAAGGCCACAUACUAAAUAUUUUAGAUUUUGUGGAUUAUACAGUCUCUGUCAUAUUUAAUUCUGUCCUUGAUGCAUACAGAUGUCAUAAAGGAUACAUAAACACAUGGUUUGGCUCUGUUCCAUAAAAACUUUAUUUAUAAAAGUAGAUACCAGGAUAGAUUUGGCUCAGGACAGAGUGUACAGACCUCUGAUAUAAAGCAUUUAAAACAUCAUUAGUGGUACAUCUGUGUGUAGGAUGCAAGGUGCAAUGUUGGAUAGUAAUUUUGUUUUUCUUCCCCAUAGGAACAAAUAUAUACCAUAAUGGUAAAAGAGGCCAUGAAAUA